UCAGCAUAAACAAUUCAAGAGCGUCUUAGCAUAAACAGCAUGGUUUUUUAGCUCAAACAGUUCUCCCUAGUUUUUGGCACUCAGCAUUCUGCAACAGUUACAGAUAUAGAAUUAUAGGAAAGUACUAGCACAUCCAAAACUACGUCGUCUUUCUCACACCACGUGCACGAAGCCAUACAUACAUGUGUGCUUUAAACCCACACGUACAGGUUUUAACAAAUAUCCUUGCGAGUCGUAGUAGGCGGGAAACAAAUCGCCCAAAUCAAAUCUGAAUCCCCUCAAACCAUUCUGCCGACCGUUCCGAAACCAUGGGUAUAAAGGGUUUAACAAAGCUUCUAGCGGACAAUGCCCCAAAGGCUAUGAAAGAGCAGAAAUUUGAGAGCUACUUCGGUCGUAAGAUUGCAAUUGAUGCUAGCAUGAGUAUCUAUCAGUUCCUUAUUGUAGUGGGAAGAAGCGGGACUGAGAUGCUCACAAAUGAAGCUGGUGAAGUCACCAGUCACUUGCAGGGCAUGUUCACUCGCACCAUUCGGCUUCUUGAAGCUGGAAUGAAGCCUCUGUAUGUUUUUGAUGGGAAGCCUCCUGAUUUGAAGAAGCAAGAGCUGGCAAAGCGUUACUCAAAGAGGGCUGAUGCUACUGAGGAUUUGGCUGAUGCCGUGGAGAUUGGAAAUAAAGAAGACAUCGAGAAAUUCAGUAAAAGAACAGUAAAGGUAACACAGCAGCACAAUGAGGACUGCAAAAGACUUUUAAGACUUAUGGGAGUGCCAGUAAUCGAGGCUCCUUCCGAAGCAGAGGCACAAUGUGCUGCACUUUGCAAAUCAGGAAAGAUUUAUGCUGUGGCUUCCGAAGACAUGGACUCCCUAACUUUUGGAGCACCUAGAUUUCUUCGCCAUUUAAUGGAUCCAAGCUCAAGAAAAGUCCCUGUCAUGGAAUUUGAAAUUGCCAAGAUUUUGGAUGAACUCAGCCUUACAAUGGAUCAGUUUAUUGAUUUGUGCAUUCUCUCUGGUUGUGAUUAUUGUGACAGCAUUCGAGGUAUUGGAGGACUAACUGCACUGAAGCUCAUGCGUCAACAUGGCUCUAUAGAGAAAAUACUGGAAAACAUUAACAAAGAGAGGUACCAAAUACCAGAUGAUUGGCCCUAUCAAGAAGCUCGACAGCUGUUUAAAGAACCAGUGGUUUUAACUAAUGAGGAGCAACUUGAUGUUAAGUGGACUGCUCCGGAUGAGGAGGGGUUAAUUAACUUUCUGGUAAAUGAGAAUGGGUUCAACAGUGACAGAGUGACGAAGGCUAUUGAAAAAAUUAAAGCGGCCAAGAAUAAGUCAUCACAGGGCCGAUUGGAAUCAUUUUUUAAGCCAGUUGCUAACACAUCUACUACUAUCAAACGAAAGGAAAGCAAAUGCAUUCUUCGAUCUCCUAAACCGACUAUCAAGUUUAGUGUAUUCUCUCCUCAAGUUUGUAGUUCAAAGCCAGAUGGCACUGGCAGCUUGAGCUUGCCAACUCUGGUUCGGGUUCCUAAACAUUUCAUUCCAUUAUCCAGAGGUGUUUGCUUGGGGACAAGAAGCUGAAAACCCUGGGAACACCUAAGGUCACUGCUAAAGAAAGUACUAUUAAGAAAUCAAAGGUAGCUGGUGGUAGGAAGAAGUAGUUUCAUGGCAUCAAAAUAGAAGGAUAAACCUUGCUGCUAUAGUCAGGUUGGGUUUGUGGAUGUAGAUGGGUGUAAAGUUAAAAGACUUGCUUGUCAAAGAAACCUUAUUAUUUCUAGUUGAGAUUCCUGGCACAGCAUCCUUGUAUGGGACGAAGAAUUGCUUUUGGUUUCUGUUUUGUUUUGCAGACCCUACAUUAUUUUCAUUCAGCAUUCAGCAACUAUGGUUUUAGUUAUAGUAACAAAGAAUUGGAAGUCCCAUAUCGGUGGGAACAACAGGACAGGCAAUUGUGGACCUAUUUGGUUCGUGAUACAUAUGCGAUAGCUCAAAAGGUUUCAGAAAUAGAAGCCAACAUUAAGUGUCUCCCUUGAUACUCCAUAUUAACUAAGAAACUGAGAGAACCAAUUAAUGCCCAA